rnacentral:miRNA from 1 species
ACACUGUGUAUAUAUGUAUACACACUCAAGAUGUAUAUAUAGUGUAGUGUGUGUACAUAUACAUACAUACGUUGUGUAUAU